rnacentral:rRNA from 1 species
UACGUAGGGUGCGAGCGUUAAUCGGAAUUACUGGGCGUAAAGCGUGCGCAGGCGGUGAUGUGAGACCGAUGUGAAAUCCCCGGGCUUAACCUGGGAACUGCAUUGGUGACUGCAUUGCUGGAGUAUGGCAGAGGGGGGUGGAAUUCCACGUGUAGCAGUGAAAUGCGUAGAGAUGUGGAGGAACACCGAUGGCGAAGGCAGCCCCCUGGGCCAAUACUGACGCUCAUGCACGAAGGCCAGGGGAGCAAACGGG